rnacentral:rRNA from 1 species
AUUGAACGCUGGCGGAAUGCUUUACACAUGCAAGUCGAACGGCAGCACGGGAGCUUGCUCCUGGUGGCGAGUGGCGAACGGGUGAGUAAUGCGUCGGAACGUACCGAGUAAUGGGGGAUAACGCAGCGAAAGCUGUGCUAAUACCGCAUACGCCCUGAGGGGGAAAGUGGGGGAUCGCAAGACCUCACGUUAUUCGAGCGGCCGACGUCUGAUUAGCUAGUUGGUGGGGUAAAGGCCUACCAAGGCGACGAUCAGUAGCGGGUCUGAGAGGAUGAUCCGCCACACUGGAACUGAGACACGGUCCAGACUCCUACGGGAGGCAGCAGUGGGGAAUUUUGGACAAUGGGGGCAACCCUGAUCCAGCCAUUCCGCGUGAGUGAAGAAGGCCUUCGGGUUGUAAAGCUCUUUCAGCUGGAACGAAACGGUAC